AGUGAAUAGAUACCCUGGUAGUCCCAGCUGUAAACGAUGCGCGUUAGGUGUAUCGGUGACCACGAGUCACCGAGGUGCCGAAGGGAAACCGUGAAACGUGCCGCCUGGGAAGUACGGUCACAAGGCUGAAACUUAAAGGAAUUGGCGGGGGAGCACCACAACAGGUGGAGCCUGCGGUUUAAUCGGACUCAACGCCGGGAAGCUCACCGGAUAAGACAGCUGAAUGAUAGCCGGGUUGAAGACUCUGCUUGACUAGCUGAGAGGAGGUGCAUGGCCGUCGUCAGUUCGUACUGUGAAGCAUCCUGUUAAGUCAGGCAACGAGCGAGACCCACGCCAACAGUUGCCAGCAUGCCCUCCGGGACGGUGGGGACACUGUUGGGACCGCCUCUGCUAAAGAGGAGGAAGGAAUGAGCAACGGUAGGUCAGCAUGCCCCGAAUUAUCCGGGCUACACGCGGGCUACAAUGGUCAGGACAAUGGGUAUCAACACCGAAAGGUGAAGGCAAUCUCCUAAACCUGUCCUUAGUUCGGAUUGUGGG
rnacentral:rRNA from 1 species